AACGAACGCUGGCGGCAUGCCUAACACAUGCAAGUCGAACGAGACCUUCGGGUCUAGUGGCGCACGGGUGCGUAACGCGUGGGAACCUGCCCUUAGGUUCGGAAUAACUCCCCGAAAGGGGUGCUAAUACCGGAUAAUGUCUUCGGACCAAAGAUUUAUCGCCCUUGGAUGGGCCCGCGUUGGAUUAGCUAGUUGGUAGGGUAAAAGCCUACCAAGGCGACGAUCCAUAGCUGGUCUGAGAGGAUGAUCAGCCACACUGGGACUGAGACACGGCCCAGACUCCUACGGGAGGCAGCAGUGGGGAAUAUUGGACAGUGGGCGAAAGCAUGAUCCAGCAAUGCCGCGUGAGUGAUGAAGGCCUUAGGGUUGUAAAGCUCUUUUACCCGGGAUGAUAAUGACAGUACCGGGAGAAUAAGCUCCGGCUAACUCCGUG
rnacentral:rRNA from 1 species